AUUGAACGCUGGCGGAAUGCUUUACACAUGCAAGUCGAACGGCAGCACGGGGGCAGCCCUGGUGGCGAGUGGCGAACGGGUGAGUAAUACAUCGGAACGUGCCCGGUCGUGGGGGAUAACGUAGCGAAAGUUACGCUAAUACCGCAUACGAUCUGAGGAUGAAAGCGGGGGACCUUCGGGCCUCGCGCGAUCGGAGCGGCCGAUGUCAGAUUAGGUAGUUGGUGGGGUAAAGGCCUACCAAGCCGACGAUCUGUAGCUGGUCUGAGAGGACGACCAGCCACACUGGGACUGAGACACGGCCCAGACUCCUACGGGAGGCAGCAGUGGGGAAUUUUGGACAAUGGGCGCAAGCCUGAUCCAGCCAUUCCGCGUGCAGGACGAGGGCCUUCGGGUUGUAAACUGCUUUUGUACGGAACGAAAAGGCUCUGGCUAAUACCUGGGGCUCAUGACGGUACCGUAAGAAUAAGCACCGGCUAACUACGUG
rnacentral:rRNA from 1 species